rnacentral:rRNA from 1 species
UUGCGAGUGAAGCGGCAACAGCUCAAAUUUGAAAUCUGGCUCCUUCGGGGUCCGAGUUGUAAUUUGUAGAGGGUGCUUCGGGCGCGAUGCCGGUCUAAGUUCCUUGGAACAGGACGUCGUAGAGGGUGAGAAUCCCGUAUGUGACCGGCGAUCAAGCCCGUGCGAAGCCCCUUCGACGAGUCGAGUUGUUUGGGAAUGCAGCUCAAAACGGGUGGUAAAUUUCAUCUAAAGCUAAAUAUUGGCCAGAGACCGAUAGCGGACAAGUAGAGUGAUCGAAAGAUGAAAAGCACUUUGGAAAGAGAGUCAAACAGUACGUGAAAUUGUUGAAAGGGAAGCGCUUGCAAUCAGACCGGUCCGGAGGCGAUCAGCCGCUGCUCGUCAGCGGUGCACUCGCCUGCGAUCCGGCCAGCAUCGGUUUGGGCGGCGGGAUAAAAGUCCCGGGAAUGUAGCUUCUCUCGGGGAGUCUUAUAGCCCGGGUCGCAAUGCCGCCCGCCCGGACCGAGGACC